rnacentral:rRNA from 1 species
GACGAACGCUAGCGGCGUGCCUAAUACAUGCAAGUUGAGCGCUGAAGGUUGGUACUUGUACCAACUGGAUGAGCAGCGAACGGGUGAGUAACGCGUGGGGAAUCUGCCUUUGAGCGGGGGACAACAUUUGGAAACGAAUGCUAAUACCGCAUAAAAACUUUAAACACAAGUUUUAAGUUUGAAAGAUGCAAUUGCAUCACUCAAAGAUGAUCCCGCGUUGUAUUAGCUAGUUGGUGAGGUAAAGGCUCACCAAGGCGAUGAUACAUAGCCGACCUGAGAGGGUGAUCGGCCACAUUGGGACUGAGACACGGCCCAAACUCCUACGGGAGGCAGCAGUAGGGAAUCUUCGGCAAUGGACGAAAGUCUGACCGAGCAACGCCGCGUGAGUGAAGAAGGUUUUCGGAUCGUAAAACUCGGUUGGUAGAGAAGAACGUUGGUGAGAGUGGAAAGCUCAUCAAGUGACGGUAACUACCCAGAAAGGGACGGCUAACUACGUG